UACAAAAUAAAAUAAUGAAACUUGUAUAAUUUCAUAAAUUAGUAAUACAUGGUUACAAGAAAUAGUUUUAUACACCAUAGAGUCUAAUAGAGAAUAUUAAUUGAGAGACUGAAAUAAAUAAACAAAUGUCGAUCAUUACAGUUUCAGCAUAAAAUAAGUAAACAGAAUGAUGAAUUCUUUAUAUUGAUGUUUAUCACCUUUGCGACUCGAUAAUUAUGUUAUAGUAUUUGAAGUAAUAUCAUGGUUCACAAAUUACUAGGCACUCGACAAAGCACGAAAACUAUUUUAAAUAGUGGAGUUUGUAAAGUGCACAACAAUAUGGACGUGGGUCUCAUUAAUUGAUACAUGGUUUAACCUCUAACAACAUUUUACGUCUGUUUUAUUUCAUUGAAAUUUUAAAUAUAUUCUUUAAUAUUGUUAGAUAUUUAUAUAAUGUUAAAUGUAUCUUUAUUUAUAUUAGUUAUACUAUUACAGUAAAUGCAAAUGUUUGUGAUAAUUAUAUGAUAUGUUUUUACAAAUUAUUAGAAAUUAGCAUAAAAAAUAUUUCACAGAUACAGUGUAUGUCACCAAAAGUCCAAAAACUAGUAAUACCUAGAACCAGUAUGAAAUUGAGAUGCCAUACCUUACGUAAGCCUUGACAUUGUUACCUAUUAAUUAAUAUAUUCAUUGGUGUUAUUAAUUAUAUUUGACCUUAAUUUUACUUAAUAUAAAAGUGGUUUACUAUUCUGUAAUUUAAACAUUUUUGUUAAAUAAUUUGAAAUUUAUGGUACAGAAAAUACAACUGAUCCAUCAAAAAUGUUGAAAAUGAGAAGAACAUUUAAUAUCAAAAUUACCAGGAGAGCCAAAAUCACCUGUGCCAGCGGAUUUUUUACCAAAAAAAAAUUUUUUAUUUACGUUAAUCAUACCUUUAACACGUUGAUCGCCAUGUCACCCACAUAUGGGUGACAGUGCUUUUCACUGAAGAACUAAAAAACUUAAUUCUGGAAGUCAAGCAUGAAAGGAAAUGAAUUUAAAUGAAAUUCAUGAAUUUUUAUGAAAUUACAAAAUAAAUACAACGAUAAAUGUUUGAUUAUGCAGUCACCAAUAGUUUAAAUAAUAUUUCAUUUUAGCAGAAACUUUCAAGAAUAUUUGUCUGGCAGUCAACGCGUUAAGGGGAAAAAACAUCCAUUCAAUUUUAUGCAAUAGUUCCUGAGAAAAAAAUGAUUGAAAAUAUGCUUUUUUUUGUGCAUUCACAGUGAAAUUUAAAUGAAUAUAAAGAAGGAACGAAGGAACCCUUAUAAAUAAAACUCACUCAUUGUCAGAUUAGUCAGAUAUCUAUUUUCAGUUCAAAGUUUUAAGUAACAUUUCCACCGAGUUUCUCGAUUAAUUCACGUUAUAUUUAUUUAUAUUUAGUUUCAAUACUCACCGCUGAUAACGCUAUAUUCUAAUUCCAUCCUGAAUCGAUAACAUCGAUCAUGGAAUCAUGGAUCAAACAUUAAUUAAAUAUAUUAUAUUUCUGUAAUAGAGUCUAAUUUUGUUUGUACUCUUGUAAACGUAAGCGGUUUGAAUCACUGGUGAUAAUAAAAUGCAACUAUGUAAUGUAGGGAAAACUUGAGCUGCUCGAAUAACACGAGUUCGUUAUUUGCUCCCAUCUUGUAUAAUAUUGCUUAUCCGUAAUUUAAUUCCUUGGAUAGAUCUAGCAUGAAGCUAAAUGAUAACAUAAUUCGAUCGUAUAGUGGUCAUUUCAGAUUUAAUGUCUCCAGUCUUGUAAAAAUGACAAUUUUUAGACUUCACACUAAUUUAACUUUUACAUAGGUUUUUAUGUUACAAUUUAAAUUGUCUAUGAACAUUUGUUACGUCUUGAUAGAAAUAGAAAGGACAGGAACUGUAUCGUAUUUAUUUUAAAAUGUAUUUGUAUUUCUGAAUUUAUUUUCAAAAGAUGGUUUACAUUUUGAUUAAUAACCCGAAUAGUUACCAAUAGAAUAGAAUACCAAUCAGUCAAUGCUUCUAUGAACAGAUAAAUCUACCAAUAGAUGUCGACAACAGCCACGGGCAUGAUAACGUCGUUCAUUAGAACGACUAAUCAUACAAAGGGUACCAUAAAUAACAUGUUAUCAAACAAAACCUUUGCGUCAUAUACUGAGAUAAAGUUGCAAACUGACCACAAUCUUUUUCAACAUUAUUUAAAAAUUUAUACCUGAAAUUCUUCAAGGUAUAGUUAAGUAAAUACAAAAUCAACGUUAACUUUUAACAUUGAUUUCUUUAAGCAAUCGAAACCAAUAUUUUCCAAGUUCUUAUUUUUAAAUUAAACAACAUUUAGAAACGUUCAAACAAUUUUUACAAAUAUACCCUUUCUUUUUUUGCGAAACGAUAAUUACUAUUCACGGACUGGAAAUGUAUAUUAAUCGCAAUAAGAUGCGAAUUCUAACGAAAAUUCGUGUCGUGAAUUUUUAUAUAAUGUUAACGGAAAAAAAUCGAAAGGAAGUGGACAGUAAGUACUUACCACAACGGACGUAGACACUGGUGUAGACUACGAAAUUCGUGUACAAUAAAAUAUCGACCGUAUUCACGUAGAAACAAAUUGUUAAAAAUGAUCUAUUCUAGAUGUAACUUACUUAUUAAAAAUAAUACAUUUAUAACGCAUUAUACAAGAAUAAAUAGUAUUCCGAACGAUUUCCAUAUACAUGUAUAAACGUUUCUGAAGGAAUUUCGUGUUAUCGUAAUGUAGCUUUUGUUUCAUUCAGUUUUCUGGUAAUUAAUUAUUUAAAUACGUUUCGAUCGCGACGAACGAAUAGCUCUGUUAAUAUUUUCCGUACCCGAUCAGCUUGCGAAAUUUCGUUUCCUCUCGAGGCAGAGCCGACGCUAAUGCAAUGUAUCGUUCCCAGGGUUUCGACGUGAUGCAUUAGCACACAGUAUGGUCGGCGUUAACGUACGGUGCAGUUGCGUCAAAUGAAACCUGUGUUCCUUGUUUUGUUUCGUGUUUUCAUUCGCACGCGGCAACGAAAGGACAGAUGUUGCCGACACAAAACAAAUUGUAUGAAAAGGUCGAUCAAGGAGGUGUGCACUCGGACGCGGUUUUUGGUCGCGUUCGGAGUGGUUGCAUAAUUGUUAAAAUGUGCAUAAUGUAGUAACAGUGGAAAUUUUCGGAUAGCGUAAACGUACAUGUACACCCACGUAAACGCGUAGCGUCGUUUAUCAUAAUUUCGUGUCGCACGUGUCGUUUGGAAGAUCGUAAUAUCGUGCACAUACAUGCCAAUGGUAUGUUAUCACGAGUUUUACAGGUUUUCUUUUUUUUUUUUUUUUUUUUAAAGUUUGUAAGCGUAAUCUUUGCAUUAUCCUAAUUCCAUGUGAGGUCGCUAACCCCUGUUGUUUUGGUACAACAACGCGAACCUCUUCGUACGAACAUUAAAACACUCUAUGAUUUUCAAAUUAAACGUGGUAUUAGCUGAAAAAAAUCAGCGUAACCCGAAACAUAAAAUUCAGAUGUACUGGCACAAUUAUUAGGACGAUAGCAUAAAAAAAAGUAUAGAAAAAUCUUUUAUUUUUUUUAUCUUUCCUAUCCUCGUUACUCCCCGUGCGUACCAAUAAUUUUCCAACACGCUAUACGUGAUAAUAAUAUUAAAUUAUCUGCUAAAACAUUGACCGAGACAAGGUUAGAGUAACCUUGAGUUUUGGAUACCUAUAUGCAACGAUUCAUACAAAAACAAAACAGUAAAGAAAGACAAACCUUUAACCGCGUAAAUUGAUAUCGCGUAUAAGUACCCCGUGAGUCGACCGAUUACUAACCGCGUAAUCGUUAAAUAUUUACAGUGGGUGUAGAAUGUAUUCGUACACCGAUCAAUUUCCCAAAAGAACUUUUCUGUGAAAUUGUGAUUUCUUAAAUUCUUUUUUUAUAAUCAAUGAUAUUUUACAUAUUCUCGGAAGUCUCUAAGAUAGAUAUAGUCCAAACAACAUUUACUAGUUAAUAGAAUUUGUGAAAGAAGCUUCAAAAUAUGAAAGUGUGUCUCCCACUUAAUGUUGAAUCGUUUGUUGCGAAACCUGAUGUUGCAGCUUGUCUACGUAUUUUUGAUUUCUUAAAAGAAUGUAAACUGCGGAUAUAAUGUACACGUAAACUGUAUUAUACAUACUACUGUAUGUA